UACGUAGGGGCCUAGCGUUGUCCGGAUUUAUUGGGCGUAAAGAGCUCGUAGGCGGUUUGUUGCGUCGGCUGUGAAAUCCCGAGGCUCAACCUCGGGUCUGCAGUCGAUACGAGCAAACUAGAGUGUUGCAGGGGAGACUGGAAUUCCUGGUGUAGCGGUGAAAUGCGCAGAUAUCAGGAGGAACACCGGUGGCGAAGGCGGGUCUCUGGGCAACAACUGACGCUGAGGAGCGAAAGCGUGGGGAGCGAACAGG
rnacentral:rRNA from 1 species